CGGAGAGGGAGCCUGAGAAAUGGCUACCACAUCCAAGGAAGGCAGCAGGCGCGUAAAUUACCCAAUCCUGAUACAGGGAGGUAGUGACAAUAAAUGACAAUGCCGGGCCAUCAUUGGUCUGGCAAUUGGAAUGAGAACAAUUUAAAUCCCUUAUCGAGGAUCAAUUGGAGGGCAAGUCUGGUGCCANCAGCCGCGGUAAUUCCAGCUCCAAUAGUGUAUAUUAAAGUUGUUGCAGUUAAAAAGCUCGUAGUUGGAUUUGUGGCGUACGGUGUGUUCCGGGCACUUGUUGUCUGAGUAACCUGCCGUUGCCAUCCUUGGGUGGAACCUGUGUGGCAUUAGGUUGUCGUGCAGGGGAUGCCCAUC
rnacentral:rRNA from 1 species